AUGGGCGCCGAGGAGGACGCCGCCGCCCGCCGCGAGCGCCUCAAGGCCCUCCGCGCCGCCAAGGAGCUCCUCUCCGCGCCCGACGGCGCCUCCCCCGACCCCGCCCCCGCCCCCGCCCCCGCCGACGCGGACCAGCAGAAUGGUGAACAUGGGAUGACAGAAGAACAGGUGGACCAACCAGAAUUGCCAGGUCCUGUGGAUGCACCCGAGGAUGCUUCCAAGGAGAACGUUAGCCCCACUAAGGAAUCUGAUGAGAUUGAAGACAGUGGGGAGGUACCACUGAAGUUCAGAAACUACCUUCCUCAUGAUGAGCGGCUCAGAGGUGGCAAGGUGGCCCCGCUGUCUCUUCCCAAGUUUGAAGAUCCGAUCGCUGCUGAUGCUGCCGAGCCAAAGCAGCUGGAGGGCAAAACUCACCAUAUUUAUCUGCAGAACCCGUUUGGGAACAUCGCUCCAAAGAACCCAAACUGGGACCUGAAACGGGACGUGCAGAAGAGGAUCGACAAGCUGGAGAAGCGCACCCAGAAAGCUCUGGCGGAGAUUGCAUUGGAGCAGCAAAAGGAGAAUGAGGCGCUGGAGGAGGGAGGCGAUGCAGCUCAAGAGUGA
rnacentral:rRNA from 1 species